AUUGAACGCUGGCGGCAGGCUUAACACAUGCAAGUCGAGCGGAGAUGAGGUGCUUGCACCUUAUCUUAGCGGCGGACGGGUGAGUAAUGCUUAGGAAUCUGCCUAUUAGUGGGGGACAACAUUCCGAAAGGAAUGCUAAUACCGCAUACGUCCUACGAGAGAAAGCAGGGGAUCUUCGGACCUUGCGCUAAUAGAUGAGCCUAAGUCGGAUUAGCGAGUUGGUGGGGUAAUGGCCUACCAAGGCGACGAUCUGUAGCGGGUCUGAGAGGAUGAUCCGCCACACUGGGACUGAGACACGGCCCAGACUCCUACGGGAGGCAGCAGUGGGGGAUAUUGGACAAUGGGGGGAACCCUGAUCCAGCCAUGCCGCGUGUGUGAAGACGGCCUUAUGGUUGUAAAGCACUUUAAGCGAGGAGGAGGCUACUGAGACUAAUACUCUUGGAUAGUGGACGUUACUCGCAGAAUAAGCACCGGCUAACUCUGUGCCAGCCGCCGCAGUAAUAC
rnacentral:rRNA from 1 species